GGGCUGCAAGCAGUAGGGGGCGAGCCUUCGCCCGGCUGAGGGGCCGGGUACUGCGUGCCCGGAAAGGUGGUCCGGGCCUCGAAGAGAGCUUUCGGAGGGAGGGCCGUCGGGCCAGCCGCUGUGUUCGGCUUCUUACUCAAUAAUAAUAAUUAACAAGUCUACACUUCCACGUUCUCUUGCUCGUGUAGUGCCAGGCACUGUUAGAGACUUUGAAUAAUAAUGCAAGUACUUAUUGUAAACAUGAUGUUUAUGGUGACUGAUACGUGCUAGGCACUAUGACAGAUCGUAAAUGAUAAUUAUAAAUAUAAUAAACUACCAAAUUAUUAUUUACUUAUUUUUUUGCCACUCUGGUGAUGCUUUCAAUAACAACAAACAACUGUCAUAAAUAAAAGCUGCUCCACAUUAAAUCUUUGCCAUGCAACCAGCACCGUCCUGGAUCCUUCGCUAAUAGACACCAUUUAUUCAUGCAACAAAGGCUACAGAAUACAAUGAUGAGAAAAAUUUACCUUAUUCCACCUUCCUGCUAGAAUCGAGUGAAGAGACAUCCUUUGAGUAAGUAACCACACAGAUACUGAGGCUGGCUUGCUAGAGCAGCAAUUCAUUCCCUCACCACAGUGAGGACGGCACUGUGCAGUCUCCUCCCGUUGUUUACUUUUCAAGAGUCAGACAGCAAUCUCAUCAUCAUUCCUUCAGGCCCUCUGCCAUGCUGCCCUGCUUUGGAGCUAGCUGACAAUGGACUGAAAUCUCUACAAACUGGAAUGAUGCUCCGUCCUUUUGGGGUUGGUCUCUCCCGCUGGCACCCUAGGCUCUCAGCAGUGACAGCUGGGUGGGGGAAGUUCAAGAUCUUCAGGACAUGCAGAGCCUCCACCACCAUUUGCAGUGUGUAGAAAAAGGACCGACUUCCUACAAGAAAUGUGUUGUUUUGUCCACUUGGUUACGAGAGUCACUACCGUAGCUGGCGCCCUGGGUGUGUUCACAUGGGACACAGACACCUUCACACUCUGUGCUGAGAAGCCCCCACACUCCCAUCUCAGACCUUCCCACCCGCCUUCAGAGUCUCGACUCUGUUCCGGAUCACCCACUGCCCAGGAAAUGUGCUCACCUCUGUUCCUGGGUGUCUCCCGGACACAGCCAAAUGUACUGCUUGGGAUUCUGACUCAGUCACGUAGCAAGGGCUUACGGCACAGCAGGGACUCAACAGAUGUAAGAGCGAGUGAAGAAAUGAAGGAACGAAUGCAUGAAUAAAGAUCCAGGAUCACCAGUGGUGGAAGUUUCAGGACAAACUUGUGCAUAGGAUUUGUAAAAACCCUUGGAAGACCCAGCAGCUCAAACCCACCCUGGAUGGCGGAUGGGGCAGUCAAAGUCAGAAGUUCCUGACCAUUUUCCAAAAAGGGUUUGGAGGCCCCUCCAGAAUUAGGCAGAAGGACAUGGGAAGGGCUUUCUCCUCUGCUGAGGGUCUCAGGAACCUAGGUGUCUGUUGCAAGUUUGCACAGCAGGGGGAAAAGAUGAAGAGUUUGCCCCUCCUUGCCCAGGAGAAAGAUCUUCCUAUCGCGCCGAAUUCCCUCAGUUCUUUAUUCCUGUGAGCAACCAGGGGAUGGAUUCCUGGUCCCCAUCUCUGUGCCUGGUGCAUAAAAAGUGCUCAAUAAAUGUUUGAUGAAUGAAUGAAAUAAUGUAAUUAAGAAUUGAAGAGGGUGGGGUAGAGGGAGAGAGUCUUUUCAAUCCUUAGGAGUUGUCCUCAAGCACCAAGAAGGCCAUAUUUGCAUACAAAUAAUUGAUAUUCUAAUUACAAAUCAUUCGUAUUGCUUUAUUAAGCAGAUCCCCAAAGGAUCUGUAGAAGAUAGAUUCCAUGCUCCUUAGGGGUAAGGACAGCAUAUUUACCUCCUUGUUCCCCGACGGCAAUGG
rnacentral:lncRNA from 1 species